CUGCCCCUGUCAGGGGGACAACCCGCCGAAAGGCGAGCUAAACCCGCGUACAUGCCACCGGGGCAUCCCGGAGGCAGGAAAGGCUUCGGCCGGACAGGGAUGGGCAUGCGGCGCAUUAGGCAGUAGGCGGGGUAACGGCCCACCUAACCGACGAUGCGUAGGGGUUCUGAGAGGAAGGUCCCCCACACUGGUACUGAGACACGGACCAGACUCCUACGGGAGGCAGCAGUGAGGAAUAUUGGUCAAUGGUCGGGAGACUGAACCAGCCAAGCCGCGUGAGGGAUGAAGGUACAGAGUAUCGUAAACCUCUUUUGUCAGGGAACAAAGGCGGGGACGUGUCCCCGGAUGAGUGUACCUGAAGAAAAAGCAUCGGCUAACUCCGUGCCAGCAGCCGCGGUAAUACGGAGGAUGCGAGCGUUAUCCGGAUUUAUUGGGUUUAAAGGGUGCGCAGGCGGUCUGUUAAGUCAGCGGUCAAAGCCCGGGGCUCAACCCCGGCCCGCCGUUGAAACUGGCAGUCUCGAGUUGGAGAGAAGUAUGCGGAAUGCGCGGUGUAGCGGUGAAAUGCAUAGAUAUCGCGCAGAACUCCGAUUGCGAAGGCAGCAUGCCGGCUCCACACUGACGCUGAGGCACGAAAGCGUGGGUAUCGAACAGGAUUAGAUACCCUGGUAGUCCACGCAGUAGACGAUGA
rnacentral:rRNA from 1 species